rnacentral:hammerhead_ribozyme from 1 species
AUUCAUCUGACGAGUCCCAAAUAGGACGAAAUGCGCAUCUUGGAU